rnacentral:rRNA from 1 species
CCUACGGGAGGCAGCAGUGGGGAAUCUUGGGCACUGGGCGCAAGCCUGACCCAGCAACGCCGCGUGAAGGAAGAAGGCUUUCGGGUUGUAAACUUCUUUUCUCAGGGACGAAGCAAGAGACGGUACCUGAAGAAUAAGCAACGGCUAACUACGUGCCAGCAGACGCGGUAAUACGUAGUUGGCAAGCGUUAUCCGGUUUUACUUGGGGUAAAGGGAGUGUAGGCGGGAAAGCAAGUCAAAUGUGAAACCCAUGGGCUCCACCUGUAGCCUGCAUUGGAGACUGUUUUUCUUGAGUACUGUAGAGGCAGACGGAAUUCCGAGUGUAGCGGUGAUAUGCGGAGAUAUUAGGAGGACCACCAGUGACGAAGGCGGGCUGCUGGACAGCAACGGACGCUGAGGCGCGAAAGCGUGGGGAGCAAACAGGAUUAGAUACCCCAGUAGUC